AUGAAGCCGUCCAUUGGAGCCGUUUUCAUGUUCUUGUGGCUGCAGAUGGGCUGUGUCAGUGGAGGAGAGAGUGUGAAGCAGCAUCCGUCCACCCUGAGUGUCCAGCAGGGAAGCAAGGCUGUUAUCAAUUGUACUUAUUCAGACAGUGCCUCAGAGUACUUCCCCUGGUAUAAGAAAGAACCUGGGAAAAGUCUCCAGCUGAUAAUAUACAUUCGUUCAACAAAGACACAAGACCAAGACAAAAGAUACACGGUUUUACUGAAUAAGAAUGAGAAACAUCUUGCCCUGCACAUCGCAGACACCCAGCCUGAAGACUCAGCUGUCUACUUCUGUGCAGCGAGUGCACAUUGCUUCCCAGGCACCUGCAACCUGUGCAGAAACCUUUGUUUGGAGCGGGGAGGGUAG